ACUAGGGUGGCGCAGUGAUUAGCGCGCCUGUCUAAUGAACAGGAGACCUGGGUUCGAAUUCCAGCCUUGGUA